GACGAACGCUGGCGGCGUGCUUAAAACAUGCAAGUCGAACGGACUUCUCAUGAAGCUUGCGAUUGAGAAGUUAGUGGCGGACGGUGAGUAACGCGUGGGCAACCUGCCCCUGAGCCCGGGAUAACAGUUCGAAAGGACUGCUAAGACCGGAUAUACUUGCGGGGAAGCAUUUCUUGUAAGGAAAGGGAACGCUCAGGGAUGGGCCCGCGUCCCAUUAGCUAGUUGGUGAGGUAACGGCCCACCAAGGCGACGAUGGGUAGCCGGCCUGAGAGGGUGAACGGCCACACUGGGACUGAGACACGGCCCAGACUCCUACGGGAGGCAGCAGUUGGGAAUCUUCGGCAAUGGGCGCAAGCCUGACCGAGCAACGCCGCGUGAGUGAUGAAGGUUUUCGGAUUGUAAAGCUCUGUCUUCCGGGACGAUAAUGACGGUACCGGAGGAGGAAGCCACGGCUAACUACGUG
rnacentral:rRNA from 1 species